GACGAACGCUGGCGGCGUGCUUAACACAUGCAAGUCGAACGGAAAGGCCCUGCUUGCAGGGUACUCGAGUGGCGAACGGGUGAGUAACACGUGGGUGAUCUGCCCUGCACUUCGGGAUAAGCCUGGGAAGCUGGGUCUAAUACCGGAUAGGAGCCAUUUUUAGUGUGAUGGUUGGAAAGUUUUUUCGGUGUAGGAUGAGCUCGCGGCCUAUCAGCUUGUUGGUGGGGUAAUGGCCUACCAAGGCGGCGACGGGUAGCCGGCCUGAGAGGGUGGACGGCCACAUUGGGACUGAGAUACGGCCCAGACUCCUACGGGAGGCAGCAGUGGGGAAUAUUGCACAAUGGGCGCAAGCCUGAUGCAGCGACGCCGCGUGGGGGAGGACGGCCUUCGGGUUGGAAACUCCUUUCGCUAGGGACGAAGCUUUUUGUGACGGUACCUAGAUAAGAAGCACCGGCUAACUACGUG
rnacentral:rRNA from 1 species